rnacentral:rRNA from 1 species
UAAUACGUAGGGUGCGAGCGUUGUCCGGAAUUAUUGGGCGUAAAGAGCUUGUAGGCGGUUUGUCGCGUCUGCCGUGAAAAUCCAAGGCUUAACUUUGGACGUGCGGUGGGUACGGGCAGGCUAGAGUGUGGUAGGGGAGACUGGAAUUCCUGGUGUAGCGGUGAAAUGCGCAGAUAUCAGGAGGAACACCGAUGGCGAAGGCAGGUCUCUGGGCCAUAACUGACGCUGAGAAGCGAAAGCAUGGGGAGCGAACAGG